rnacentral:tRNA from 1 species
GCCUUCGUGGUGUAACGGUACACACUCGAUGCGUAUUCGAGAGGUCCAGGGUUCGAAUCCCGGCGAGGGCA